rnacentral:rRNA from 1 species
GAUGAACGCUGGCGGCGUGCCUAAUACAUGCAAGUCGAGCGAACGGACGAGAAGCUUGCUUCUCUGAUGUUAGCGGCGGACGGGUGAGUAACACGUGGAUAACCUACCUAUAAGACUGGGAUAACUUCGGGAAACCGGAGCUAAUACCGGAUAAUAUUUUGAACCGCAUGGUUCAAAAGUGAAAGACGGUCUUGCUGUCACUUAUAGAUGGAUCCGCGCUGCAUUAGCUAGUUGGUAAGGUAACGGCUUACCAAGGCAACGAUGCAUAGCCGACCUGAGAGGGGGAUUCGGCAACCCUGAACCGAGACAAGGUUCAGAACCCCACGGGAGGCAGCAGUAGGGAAUCUUCCGCAAAGGGCGAAAGCCUGACGGAGCAACGCCGCGUGAGUGAUGAAGGUCUUCGGAUCGUAAAACUCUGUUAUUAGGGAAGAACAUAUGUGUAAGUAACUGUGCACAUCUUGACGGUACCUAAUCAGAAAGCCACGGCUAACUACGUG